GCUAUUAAGAAACAUGCAGUGAAGUGAGGUUAUGGACAACUAAAAAAGCUGUUGCUUCACAGACACAAUUCAUGAUGCAUGGCCACUGGUCUCCAGGUAACAUUUCACUAUUCCACUUCCAAACAUUCUAGGGAAGUGAAGGGUGAGCCAGGUCACUUACAUCACAGACACCAGCCUGCACAAUUCCUCUGUAGUUUAACAUAUUGCCCUCAACUGCAAAACUCCUUGUAUGUUUCUUUGCACUGAGCUGGACAAAGCUGGGAAGAAAACUAUUAAGUCCAUUGGGAGCUUAGUAGAUUUCCAAUCUUCACUAUGAAAGAACAAAACAUAGAGAAAUGUGGGAGAUAUCCAGUUGGAUGACUACACCUAGGAAGGUCCCUGAGAGCAAUUACUGGCAGAGAGUUGCCACUGAGUGACAUCAGAUUGUUUCCGAGCAGUGCCCAGGCUCCCGCUUACCCUGCUCUUGGUGCGCUCCAGCUGCUCCCGCUGCUCCCCGAGCUCCUCGAUGAUGUCCGUGCCAAUCUGGUCGGUUUCAGCAGCGAUUCGGUGCGAGCGCUCGAUGCUCUCGCUGGCUCGGUUCAGGCUGUCUGUGCCCUGGAGAAGCAGCACCCUCUGGGACUGCAGGUUAGUCUGAAAAAUAACGGAUGCUUAACUAUUAAGCACAAAUACAGAAGUAUUGGGCUUGUGACAUUAAAAAGUUAGAAUGUGACUCCAUAGGCCGUCCAUUUGUAUUAGCUGUACAUACUUCUUAUGUUUACUGAUGCAACCCAGUUAAUUUUGGCUGAGCCUUGUUCACCUUUGUCGUGGGGACAAAGAUUAUGACCAAAUCUGGUUAAAUCUCUAAAAAGGAUACAGCACUGAAGAGUUAAAACAGUUCCAAAAAACUGUCUUUGUAGCAAUUUACUUUUCCAUCAAAGAAUAUUUACAUGAAAUUAGUAUCUUUCUUUUCCAGAUGCAAACUUUUAUCUUCCAUUCACAUCUAAAGUCAGCCUUAUUUUCGACUUCAUAGUUGGUUGCCAGGGAAAUCUUUAAGAGUUUACAGUCAAAAGGAUUAGGAACAAACAGCACUAACAGAUGGGCUGCUAAGUAACACAGAUCCUCUUUUCAUGCCAAUAGCCUGGGCUAGAGGAUAAGGAAUGUUUGCUGACCUUGGGGUCAGAAGGUAGCUCAAAAUAAAGUGUUUUCUUAAGCUUCAGAAAGUCUAAUCUAUCACCCUGCUCUCAGGUUUUAGAGUAAUCAGUCAAGAGGAAUCAAAUGCAAAAAUUUCCCAAGCCACAGCAGAAGCAAAUAUUAAGCAAAGAAUCUCCGUCAAAACUGGCCUCAUCUAAGGCAGAAAAUGAAAAGCCCACCUCCAUGAACUUUCUGUACAGAUGACAGCACUUUGAAGACAACAAGGAGAUUCAGUCUCACUAGCUCGGAUAUGUCUAAGCCUAUCUGGUAAACAAGAAAUUGGUGUAAUUUUUGCAUUGUUGCAGCAAAACCAUACUGAAAUAUGUGCUAGAGGAAAAAUCCUUAUAUUUUCUGCAAUUAUUUAGACUAACAUCGCUUAAAAGAUAAUUCUGUGAAAGAACUUAUACAAUGCAUGAUUCACACUUUGCUGGUUUUGGAGAUUAGAACUAGGUGAAUUAACCUUUUUUUCAUUAAGUAGAACCACUUCUGUGUUUUCCCUUCUGUAGGAAGGGAAACCUGUGGAAUGAUCAAACAAAGAGUUUCGGUACAGAAUGUUGCGCAAAUUACUAACCACAUAAGGAGUUCCAUUUUGAUUACAUUCCUAUCUUUUAGAACAGAAAAGCUCUCCUCUGAGUUCCAGGUGUUUUUUCUCCUCCCUAAGAUAUUCAUGUUACAUGCAGAUAUAUAUACAAGGAGUUAUAAAAGCACAGAGGUGGCUUAAAGUAGAAACACUGUAAACAACGCAUCUGCAAUACUGCUUUUGCACAAUCACAGCACAGUUAAAUCAAGUUGACAUCUAAUCCUUA